ACCAGUGUGGCAUAGUGGUUUGAGUGUUUGACUAUGACUCUGGAGACCAGGGUUCAAUUCCUCACUCUGCCA